CCUACGGGUGGCUGCAGUGGGGAAUUUUGGACAAUGGGGGCAACCCUGAUCCAGCCAUUCCGCGUGAGUGAAGAAGGCCUUCGGGUUGUAAAGCUCUUUUGUCCGGAGCGAAACGGGCGGCCCUAAUACGGUCGUCUACUGACGGUACCGGAAGAAUAAGCACCGGCUAACUACGUGUCGGCAGCCGCGGUACUACGUAGGUUGCGAGCGUUCAUCGGAAUUACUGGGGGGAAAUUGUGCGCCAGAUGUGAAGUCCCCGGGCUCAACCUGGGAAUGGCAGUUGGGACUGCAAGGCUGGAGUGUGGCAGAGGGGACUAGAAUUCCUGGUGUAGCAGUGAAAUGCGUAGAUAUCAGGAGGAAUACCGAUGGCGAAGGCAGGUCCCUGGGUUAACACUGACGCUCAUGCACGAAAGCGUGGGGAGCAAACAGGAUUAGAUACCCUAGUAGUC
rnacentral:rRNA from 1 species